rnacentral:rRNA from 1 species
GACGAACGCUGGCGGCGUGCUUAACACAUGCAAGUCGAACGGAAAGGCCCUGCUUUUGUGGGGUGCUCGAGUGGCGAACGGGUGAGUAACACGUGAGUAACCUGCCCUUGACUUUGGGAUAACUUCAGGAAACUGGGGCUAAUACCGGAUAGGAGCUCCUGCUGCAUGGUGGGGGUUGGAAAGUUUCGGCGGUUGGGGAUGGACUCGCGGCUUAUCAGCUUGUUGGUGGGGUAGUGGCUUACCAGGGCUUUGACGGGUAGCCGGCCUGAGAGGGUGACCGGCCACAUUGGGACUGAGAUACGGCCCAGACUCGUACGGGAGGCAGCAGUGGGGAAUAUUGCACAAUGGGCGGAAGCCUGAUGCAGCAACGCCGCGUGCGGGAUGACGGCCUUCGGGUUGUAAACCGCUUUCGCCUGUGACGAAGCGUGAGUGACGGUAAUGGGUAAAGAAGCACCGGCUAACUACGUG